rnacentral:rRNA from 1 species
UACGUAGGGUGCGAGCGUUAAUCGGAAUUACUGGGCGUAAAGCGUGCGCAGGCGGUUUUGUAAGCCAGAUGUGAAAUCCCCGGGCUUAACCUGGGAACUGCGCUUGUUACUGGCAGGCUUGAGUGUGGCAGAGGGGGGGUGGAAUUCCACGUGUAGCAGUGAAAUGCGUAGAGAUGUGGAGGAACACCGAUGGCGAAGGCAGCCCCCUGGGCUAACACUGACGCUCAUGCACGAAAGCGUGGGGAGCAAACAGG